CGGAGGAUCAUUAGCGAGUAUGGCCCUCACGGGNCUAAUCCACCAUAAACACCUUUGUGAACCAGUCAGGGGGACUCGGCCGUGAAAGCCCAGGCGAUUAGCGGAAGGGCCCUCCUUUGCAAACCCGUUUAGAAGUCUUGAAAGUACUUUUGUAUAAUCUAGUAAAACUUAUAGCAACGGAUCUCUUGGCUCUCGUAUCGAUGAAGAACGCAGCGAAAUGUGAUAAGUAAUGUGAAUUGCAGAAUUCAGUGAAUCAUCGAAUCUUUGAACGCAUCUUGCGCUCUUUGGUAUUCCGAAGAGCAUGUCUGUCUGAGUGUCACGAAACUCUCAACCUCCUUUCCUUUGUGAUCGGCUGGUUGGAUCAUGGGCGCUUGCCGGCCAGGUCGGCUCGCCUGAAAUGCAUUUGCGAUGUUGUGUCCUUGUGAGUUGGCCCGACUAGGCGUGAUGGUAACGACGUUCGUCUAGGAUCCCGCUUCGGCGAGGAGCCGCUCCUGUUGGGCGUUUGCCUUCGCAUGAACACUCAUAUCUUUGGUUUAGACCUCAGAUCAGGCAGGAUUACCCGCUGAACUUAAGCAUAUCAAUAAGCGGAGGAAAAGAAACUAACAAGGAUUCCCCCAGUAACGGCGAGUGAAGAGGGAAGAGCUCAAAUUUGUAAUCUGGCCGUUCUGCGGUCCGAGUUGUAACCUAUAGAAGCGUUUUCUGUGCCUGGCCCCUUAUGAGUCUGUUGGAAUAUAGCGUCAAAGAGGGUGAGAACCCCGUUCGUGAUGGGUGUCCAGUGUGCUCUGUGAUACGCUCUCUAAGAGUCGAGUUGUUUGGGAAUGCAGCUCUAAUUGGGUGGUAAAUUCCAUCUAAAGCUAAAUAUUGACGAGAGACCGAUAGCGAACAAGUACCGUGAGGGAAAGAUGAAAAGCACUUUGGAAAGAGAGUUAACAGUACGUGAAAUUGCUAUAAGGGAAACGCUUGAAGUCAGACAUGCUCCGUGCGUUCAGCCGAAAGGUGUACUCGUACGGUUGCAGGCUAGAGUCUGUUCUUGGGGUCGGAUAAGGGUCUUGGGAAUGUGGCCGGUUCGCCGGUGUUAAGCCCUGGACUUGAUACGGCUCUGGGGACAGAGGACCGCAGCGCGCCUUCUUGGCAUNGGCUUCGGC
rnacentral:rRNA from 1 species